UCAAGGGUAUGGCAUUGGGGCAGGAGAGGAAGAGUCAGCAGCACAGAGGGGCUUGGGAGCUCUUCCUGCUGGAAGGGGUCCAUGUACUGAACCUGGAGGAAGUGACCUCACUUCCUUGGUAACAGGCCACAACAGAACAUGGAACUCUGGUAACCAGGCACCCACAUUCUAGUGGUAGCCAUUGCCAGCUCACUUGAUGGGAAAUGUUGGAGGCAGAAAAAUGUUCUCUUGCUGCUUCUUAUCAAGUUUGGAGGUGCAUCCACACUGCACCUGGCAGAGGUCUGCUCCCUAUGGAGCCUGCAGCCAGGCACCAGGGCAAAGUUGGAGGAGUCCCUGGUCCCAGCCUCCCCAGGAAGAACCAUCGCUUACUUGUCCACUCUGCUGUGCUCAUAUGGCGACUUCAGCACUGUUCCGUAUUUCCUGGACCAGAUAUUCCAUAGGUGAGCAUCUGUGCCCUCCAGGCACACGGGGCCUCUGCCACUCACUAGCCGUGGCUCUCUGCCUGCCUGCUCCUCUGAGAAGUGGGGUGGUGUGAUUGUGAGCCUCAGGGGUUGUACAGGCACCGUGUGACUUCAGACAUGGCAGGGGUCCUGAUGCCUGCUCUGUGGCCAGGGCUGCUGGGGCUGUGCUCAUCCCUCUUCUGGUCUCUGCGCCCUCGGGACUCAAUAGCCCAUGGCCUUCUACAUUUGGAAAACCCCACAGAGAGCAGCCCUGCCUUCCCAUCUGUAAAGGAGGCCUCCCAGCCCCAGUCCCUGAUACAAACAGAGCAGGGCCUGGGCACUGGGUAUGGGGCCCAGGCCCCUCAGCUCUGUGGCAAGGGGCCGUGUGUGGUUCAUCCCCACAGCACGUGAAUGUUAAGUACUCUGGGCAGUCACUUUACAGACACUUGUCACAGCUCAGUGAGCAAAGCAGACAGCAUAAACAGGGCCUCUUGACCUGGGAGGGCCCAGACUCUCCCAGCUGAACGCCUGCCCGGGUCCUGUCCACAGGGUCAGAGGGGAGAGGAUGCGUCCUCUCAUGGUCUUGCCAGGAUGUCAGAGCCCAGGCCCCACUAGGAUGUCAUGGACUUUGGGUCCAGACAGGGGCCUUCUGUCCCUGCAAACUGUGGGAGCAAAAUGUGGGCUGUGGCUGGGGAGGGACAGACAGGGUGUGGAUCUCUCACUUCCUGUUACUCCUCUGAGAGCACCAAGGCCUGGGGACUCCCCACAAAGGAAAGGAGAACAGAACUGGGAAUGGGGUUCCAGACCUGCAAAGGAGAGGGGAGGCUGGGGCGCAGAGCAGCCAGGGGUCCAUUCCCAGGACAGGUGCUUCCCAGCUCUGCCCAUGCUCCCCACUCCUACCCCAGGAGGUCCAGACCUGCAGAGAUCCUGAGAAACCUGCUCCUAAGUCUGCCCAGAGCCUUUGUGCUGAGCACUGGGGGCCCUCCCCUCAGGGAAGAAAGUCACUGGGAGGCUGUCACCACGGGGUCUGACCAGCCUGUUGACCAGGUCUGCCACUGCCAGGGCAGCCCAGGAGGGCUUGGGGGGUGGGGUCAUGCUCUGGACAGGAGGAGGCAUGCCCAGGGCUCCAGAGCCACAGAGGGGCCCCUGGCAGUGCAGUGUGGCAGCCAAGGCCAACCUCUGACCCCGCUGCCCUCACUUGUGUCCCCAGCAACAUGGCUUCCUUCCUGGGAUGCUGCAGAGACCUGUACAAGGCAGAGCUCCAUGGUCACACCAGCCUUCCACUGCUGAAGAUGAAGGUGGGCUGCAAGCCUGUCAGCCUGCCUGGAGGAGACCUGGGGACCCAGGUGUACUUUCUGUAUGCCCUGCCCGUUCAUGCCCAGCACCCUGAGGCCAAAGCAGACAGUGAGGGGUAGUGCAGUCUGCAGGUCUCUCAGGGGUGGUGUUUGGGGCUGGAAUCCCCUUCCAGGCAGUGUGACCUCUCGGGCUUUUCAGAGGCCAUUGGAAGAUGUUUCCUGUUGACGAACCUUUCUCUUCUUCCAGCUCCUGCUUUGUGUGCAGGGCCACCAUCCUUCCACGUACUGGCUCUCGAGCCAGCUGCACACCACUGACUCAGCCUGGACCUGCUCUGGAGCCAGGGCCAGCUUCCCCAUGGGGCCUGUCCCCAUGUGCACAAUCAACACUAGUACCAGCUCCACAGGCCUCCUCUGGAUGGGCUGGGAUUACAGAGGAGCUGCCUGGGGCGGAGAUGGUUGACAUCACCACCUUCUCCCCCAGGAUGAUGGCAGAGCAGCUCAUACUCCUGGAUGCGGUGAGCAGCCAGCUCUGCUGGGCAGGGCCAGGGCCACAGCGUUCCUGUGGCACCUGCCAUCCCACACAAGCCCUGGUCAGAGUCCAGCGUUCUGAGUCAGCACAGGCUUCAUGUCUCAGCCCCAGUGUGACCCGGGCUCAUUUCUAAUGUCCUAACCCACCUGUCCCCUGUGGACAGCAGAGAUGGGACAUACUCAUGCCAGGUGCACAGAGCGACAGACAGAAAGCUGGGCAUGGUGUGGCCCAGAGGUUGUGGAGGGCACUGAGGUGCAGGUGGCCCCCCAUCCCCUGCCAGUCUGCCCAGAAUGCCUUACCUGUCUCAGCACUGAUUAGGCUUCAGAGUUGGACGGGGUCCCAGAGCAGACACACAAACAGAGCCCCUUGUUGUAGCUGCCACAGGGAGGUGUGCUGGGAUGGGGACAAGGAGCACAGGGCUGAUGGUAAUUGGCCGAGGGAUGGGGAGUUGGCCAGGAUGCCUGGAGAAAACACCUCUGUUUCUUCUCUCCAAGAAUGGGCUCUGGGCCAUGAGGUUCUAGGCACCCUCAGUGGGCUGCUGCUCCCACCGCUGUGAGCCGCAUGCACAGCAUCCUGGGAGUGUGGGCACCAGUGCACUCUGAGUGGGGUUGGCUGUGCCCAUGGGACACUCUCCUUCCCAGGUGCUGUUCCAGAAGGUAGUGCCCUUCCACUGCCUAGGCUCUAACUGGACCAAGUGCAACAAGAAAGGCAAGGCUUCCUGGCCUCCACUGUUCAUGACACCAUUAAGCAAUUCAGCUGUGUGACAAAUAGUGUAGUAGCCACAUGCUUGGGGGACCCCAGCAUGAAGGCCACAGACAGGGACCAUGUAAGGUCAGCUGUGGGUGGCCAGGGCACUCACUGCACACUGGGAAUGGCCACAUUGCUUUAUCAGCCCUCGGAAGUACAGCUUGUGGCUGAAGACCCUGCACAGACCCUGGGCCCUUCCUGGCAGGGAGGGGACUGACCUGACUCACUUCUCCCAGGGGUGCAUGCUCACUUCUCACCUGAGCCUCCACGUGGGUUGAACCCAGUCCUCUCCCUGUGAGGGUGGCCACAGUUCCCUUGUGUGGCUCCGUGGGCCUCUGAUGCAGGAGGAGGACAUCAGCCCAGGGGGAUCCAGGUGACCUCUCCCUCAUCCUCUGUGCUCUGCGGUCCACCUCUCUUUACCAUCUGAACGAGACAUGAGGAAAAGUUUCAAGGUGGGUGCCUUUUCCCACAGGAGCUCCCGGGUGGACCUGGAACCCCAGAACUCAGCACUAAUCCCUCAUGACUCUGGGAAGGGCCAGUGGCCAGGGACUUGGGGACCAGACGUGGACCAGUUGGGGAGAGUAACUCUCUGCCUCCCUCGGUCCAAGGCCAGGCAGAAUUUCUCACAAGGACAUUUACUUAGUGUCAGGCACUGGCUCCUUUUUAAGAUUUAUGUAUUUGUUUGAAAGUCAGAGUUAUGGAGAAACAGGGAUUGACAGAGAAAUCUACCUGCUGGCUCACUCCCCAAAUGGCCACAGUGGCUGGGCCAGGCCCAAGCCAGUGGCCUUCUCCAUCUGGGCGCCCCUGUGCUCAUAUGGGAUGCUGGCAUCAUAGCCAUCAGCCUGACUCUCUGUGCCACAGCACUGGCCCAGGCCCAGGUUUUUAAUGUGCCCACCUGUUCCUGCUCCUGGGCAGCACCGGAGCUCCUUGUGCAGGUGAACUUGAGGCAAAACAGUUCGCUCAGGCAAGGGAAGGGGCCCAGGUGACCAACUUCAGCUCCCAGCCUGUCACCUGGGCCCCAGGGCUCAGGGAACCCAGUGGGAAACUCACCUCCUUGCUCGCAUCCUCCUUGCUCUCAAGGAAAGGGAGCUGCACUCACCACCCUCCCAUCACACCAAGUAGCUCCUCCUGGUUUCCCAUCUCCACAGGAAAAGCUACAAAAAAAUUGAGCCCCUGUGUGAGAAGGACAAUGGCUUGAGCAGGGAUCUGCUCACCAAGCGUGAUGAGGAGUUCGGCGUGUGGUUCCGGUCCAUGGAGUAUCUCACGGAGAGCGAGAGGUGAGUGAUGGGCAGGAAUUAGGUGAAGUUAGGGUGGGGUGGGGGUGGGGGUGGGGAGCAUCAUCCAGGCCCCCUGGUGGGCAGCAGGCCCUGUCCCGUGGGCACUGCUGGCCCCCAGGACUGCAGCUCCUGGGCAGGCCCUGGGAGGGAGGCCUGAGCUGAGGCUCUUGGUGGACUCAUGGCUGUGCUCUGUGCAUUAGCUAUACCCUGUCCUGCCAGCUGGAGCCCUCUGCCAAGAGGCCCGCAGCAGCCUCAAGGCCACGAACACCAUCGUGAUGUCCUCGUGACUGAGUGCUGGGACCUCAGGGGCAGAUCUGAGCUCAUUGUGAGCCUGGUGCCUGGGACAGCGGCCUCCCUGCUGUGAAGCUGAGGCCUGCAUUGUAUCAGUUUAAUGUGUCCCUCUUAUUUUUUCUCUUUUCCUCCUAUUUAACUAUAGUCACUGUUAGUAGUUCCCUAUUAGAGUUUUAUUAAAGUUAAUAUAAAUAUGUUGCACCAUGAAUUUCAUUCUUCCUCAUCAUUGCUUCCCCAUAACUGAGGUUUUGAGUGGGUGUUCCACACAUGCAAAUGCGCUGUGGGCAUGGGCUCUUCCUAGUUUGUGGCUCCUGGAGCUGCACCUCACUGGCUGAAGUUCCCUGAGGUUCUUCUCCUAAGAGGAGCAGGCAGAUCAUUUGGUGACUGGUGUAAAAAUACUGCCUGACUCCUCUUGCACUUUCUCCCAUGGGUUUAGGAUGUUGGCUCCAGCCUGGCCUGGUCUGGCUGUGGUGAGCAUAUGGGAGGUGAACCAGCAGAUGGAAGAUCUCUCUUUAUGUUUAUCUUCCAAAUAAAUAAAAGAGGGGCUGGUGCUGUGACUUAGCGGGUAAAGUUGCUACCUGCAGUGCUAGCAUCAGGGGUGUGUUCGAGUCCUGGCUGCUCUCCUUCUGAUCUGGUUCUCUGCUAUGGCCUGGGAGAGCAGUGGAGGAUGGCCCCAGUCCUUGGGCCCCUGCACCCACAUGGGAGACCCAGAAGAAACUCUGGCUCCUGGCAUCCGAUCAGCUCAGCUCCAGCCAUUGUGGCCAUUUAGGGAGUGAACCAGUGGAUGGAAGAUCUCCCUCUCUUUCGGCCUCUAACUCUAGCUUUCAAAUAAAUAAACAAAUCUUUAAAAAAUAAUAAAAAAUAAAAAGCAUUUUAGAUGGAAUGUAAAAAUACUACAACAAUGUCAAAAUGCUUUAUCAUAAAAGUCUGAUUUCAUCAUCAUUUAAAAAAUCAUCUAUUAUUUUUCACUUUAUGUUUCUGUGUGGGAGCAAACUGUUGAAAUCUUUACUUAAUGUAUGCUAAACUGAUCUUCUGUAUAUAAAGAGAAUCUAAAAUGAAUCUUGAUGUGAUUGGAAGGGGAGAGGGAGAGGGAAAGGGGAGGG